rnacentral:rRNA from 1 species
UGGGGAAUAGGGGAAAAGGGGAGCAAGCCUGAUCCAGCCAUGCCGCGUGAGGGAUGAAGGCCCUAGGGUUGUAAAGCUCUUGCACCGGUGAAGAUAAGGACGGUAACCGGAGAAGAAGCCCCGGCUAACUUCGUGCCAGCAGCCGCGGUAAUACGAAGGGGGCUAGCGUUGUUCGGAUUUACUGGGCGUAAAGCGCACGUAGGCGGACUUUUAAGUCAGGGGUGAAAUCCCGGGGCUCAACCCCGGAACUGCCUUUGAUACUGGAAGUCUUGAGUAUGGUAGAGGUGAGUGGAAUUCCGAGUGUAGAGGUGAAAUUCGUAGAUAUUCGGAGGAACACCAGUGGCGAAGGCGGCUCACUGGACCAUUACUGACGCUGAGGUGCGAAAGCGUGGGGAGCAAACAGG